GUCUGCUCUGCUCUGCUCUGACCGCCACGAUGAGCCGCCGCAGCCACAGCGGACCUCUGGCCGCGCUGGCGGCCGCCGCACUCGCCGUCGCUUUCCUCUGCGCCGCCGCCGAGGGGUCGUGCCUGAGCUACGGACACUCCUGCUGGGGAGCGCACGGCAAGCGCAGCGGCGGCGGCGGCGGGGCAUCCCCGCGGCUGGGCCUGGUGCCCGACGACG